rnacentral:rRNA from 1 species
CGAGAAAGCCCGCAAGGGUGAGUACAGCGGCGAACGGGUGCGUAACACGUGGGUAAUCUGCCCUGGAGUCCGGAAUAACUCGCCGAAAGGCGUGCUAAUGCCGGAUAAGACCACGGGAGCUUCGGCUCCUGCGGGAAAAGGUGGCCUCUGUAUACAAGCUAUCGUUCCAGGAUGAGCCCGCGGCCCAUCAGCUCGUUGGUGGGGUAAUGGCCCACCAAGGCUACGACGGGUAGCUGGUCUGAGAGGACGAUCAGCCACACUGGAACUGAGACACGGUCCAGACUCCUACGGGAGGCAGCAGUGGGGAAUCUUGCGCAAUGGGCGAAAGCCUGACGCAGCAACGCCGCGUGUGUGAUGAAGGUCUUCGGAUCGUAAAGCACUGUCGCGAGGGACG